ACAGAAAAGGAUUCAAGAGGCAA
rnacentral:siRNA from 1 species